rnacentral:tRNA from 1 species
GCCCCUGUAGUUUAAUUAAAAUUUUAAUUUUGUAAAUUAAAGAUGUCAUCCGGGGGCA